GGAGGGGAGAGGCCAGCCAGAGCACCGGAUGAGGGGGCUCUGGGCCUCAAGGAAGCAGCACGCGAAGUAUCCUGAAGAGGAAUUUGAAUCCACAUCUCUGACUUCUGAGGCGAGUGGUUUAAUCACCAGAAGUGCUGAAUCAACUUAUGCUCCUAGAAUCCAUUUUCAAGAGUGUCAUGGGCAUUUUGGAGGG